UCCGGUUCAAACUAAAUACUAUGUUAUUACACAGAAAGAUAUGGAUGUUUACGUGAGGCUCUCAAGAAGGCGAACGUGUGUUCCUGUGGUGCUGGAUGUAGUGGGAAAUGUUGUCAAUGUGGAGACGCCUGCAAAUGUGCAAGUGGCUGUGCAUGCCCCGGAUGUAGAGUUGUAUGCAGAUGUUCAGGUACGUGUGUAUGUGGAUGUGAU